AGGCCCCGCCUUCCCGCUUCGGCUGCUGCUUGUUUCCCUGCCACCACCAAUCCCCGAGGAUCAUCUAUCCUUUGGUGCAGGCAAAAAAGCAAGUAGCAAUUGGUCAGGGGAAGAAUGGCAUUAAAGAAGAUUUCCAGCAACAAGUGCUUUGGAGGAUUGCAGAAAGUUUUUGAACAUGACAGUGUUGAACUGAACUGCAAAAUGAAAUUUGCUAUCUACUUACCACCAAAGGCAGAAACUGGAAAAUGCCCUGCACUAUAUUGGCUGUCUGGUUUGACUUUCAUGGAACAAAAUUUUAUAUCAAAGGCUGGUUAUCAUCAAGCUGCCUCCAAACAUGGCCUUGUCAUCAUUGCUCCAGAUACGAGCCCUCGUGGCUGCAAUAUUAAAGGAGAAGUUGAGAGCUGGGACUUUGGCACUGGUGCUGGGUUUUAUGUGGAUGCCACUGAAGAUCCUUGGAAAACUAACUACAGAAUGUACUCUUAUGUAACUGAGGAGCUUCCCCAACUCAUAAAUGCCAAUUUUCCAGUGGACCCCCAAAGGAUGUCUAUUUUUGGCCACUCCAUGGGAGGCCAUGGAGCUCUGAUUUGUGCUUUGAAGAAUCCUGGAAAGUACAAAUCUGUGUCAGCAUUUGCUCCCAUUUGCAACCCAGUGCUCUGUCCUUGGGGCAAAAAAGCCUUUAGUGGAUAUUUGGGAACAGAUCAAAGUAAAUGGAAGGCUUAUGAUGCUACCCAUCUUGUGAAGUCCUACCCAGGUUCUCAGCUGGACGUACUAAUUGAUCAAGGGAAAGAUGACAGGUCAAUGGCCUUCUUUACUAACUGA